GACGAACGCUGGCGGCGUGCUUAACACAUGCAAGUCGAACGGAAAGGCCCUGCUUUUGUGGGGUGCUCGAGUGGCGAACGGGUGAGUAACACGUGAGUAACCUGCCCUUGACUUUGGUAUAACUUCAGGAAACUGGGGCUAAUACCGGAUAGGAGCUCCUGCUGCAUGGUGGGGGUUGGAAAGUUUCGGCGGUUGGGGAUGGACUCGCGGCUUAUCAGCUUGUUGGUGGGGUAGUGGCUUACCAAGGCUUUGACGGGUAGCCGGCCUGAGAGGGUGACCGGCCACAUUGGGACUGAGAGACGGCCCAGACUCCUACGGGAGGCAGCAGUGGGGAAUAUUGCACAAUGGGCGGAAGCCUGAUGCAGCAACGCCGCGUGCGGGAUGACGGCCUUCGGGUUGUAAACCGCUUUAGCCUGUGACGAAGCGUGAGUGACGGUAAUGGGUAAAGAAGCACCGGCUAACUACGUG
rnacentral:rRNA from 1 species